UACGUAGGGCGCAAGCGUUGUCCGGAAUUAUUGGGCGUAAAGAGCUCGUAGGCGGCUUGUCACGUCGGAUGUGAAAGCCCGGGGCUUAACCCCGGGUCUGCAUUCGAUACGGGCUAGCUAGAGUGUGGUAGGGGAGAUCGGAAUUCCUGGUGUAGCGGUGAAAUGCGCAGAUAUCAGGAGGAACACCGGUGGCGAAGGCGGAUCUCUGGGCCAUUACUGACGCUGAGGGGCGAAAGCGUGGGGAGCGAACAGG
rnacentral:rRNA from 1 species